rnacentral:antisense_RNA from 1 species
CUUGAUCGACCCCAACCACAGCGGCUCGGACCGGUCCUGGCCGUAGGUGGCCAGAAGUGCUUGCGCCUC